ACUUCUGUAGCGGAUAGAUUUUGGACGAACUCCUACGACGCAUGGGCUCCAGCAGUCGAACCCCUCCAGCAGGUGAACCUCUCUAGCACCAUCCGACAUCCACUGUCGGUCGACCUUCUGUCGGAUUCUGCAUGAAACUGAACUUCGUCCAUAGAAAGCCCCUGACUGAGCUUCUACAGCAGAUGACCUUCGCCUGCAGUACUAACGUCCAAGGCACCCAACGGUAGAAAGCUCACCAACAACAUCCGAGCUCCUC
rnacentral:lncRNA from 1 species